rnacentral:rRNA from 1 species
GACAGAGGGUGCAAACGUUGUUCGGAAUUACUGGGCGUAAAGCGCGUGUAGGCGGCCCUGCAAGUCGGAUGUGAAAUCCCACGGCUCAACCGUGGAAGUGCAUUCGAAACUGCAGGGCUAGAGUCCUGGAGAGGAAGGUGGAAUGCUUGGUGUAGAGGUGAAAUUCGUAGAUAUCAAGCGGAACACCGGUGGCGAAGGCGGCCUGCUGGGCAGUUUUGCUGACACUGAGGCGCGACAGCGUGGGGAGCAAUCAGG